AUUGAACGCUGGCGGCAGGCCUAACACAUGCAAGUCGAACGAGUGGCGGACGGGUGAUUAAUGUCUGGGAAACUGCCCGAUGGAGGGGGAUAACUACUGGAAACGGUAGCUAAUACCGCAUACCAUCGGAUGUGCCCAGAUGGGCUUAGCUAGUAGGUUGGGUAACGGCUCACCUAGGCGACGAUCCCUAGGUGGUCUGAGAGGAUGACCGGCCACACUGGAACUGAGACACGGUCCAGACUCCUACGGGAGGCAGGAGUGGGGGAUAUUGGACAAUGGGCGCAAGCCUGAUGCACACAUGCCGCGUGUAUGAAGAGGGCCUUCGGGUUGUAAAGUACGUUCAGCGAGGAGGCGUUACCCGCAGAAGAAGCACCGGCUAACUCCGGGCCAGCAGCCGCGGUAAUUC
rnacentral:rRNA from 1 species